rnacentral:rRNA from 1 species
UACGUAGGGGGCAAGCGUUGUCCGGAAUCAUUGGGCGUAAAGCGCGCGUAGGCGGCCCGGUAAGUCCGCUGUAAAAGUCCAGGGCUCAACCCUGGAAGGCCGGUGGAUACUGUCGGGCUAGAGUCCGGAAGAGGCGAGUGGAAUCCUGGUGUAGCGGUGGUGAAUGCGCAGAUAUCAGGAGGAACACCGAUGGCGAAGGCAGCUCGCUGGGACGGUACUGACGCUGAGGCGACGAAGCGUGGGGAGCGAACAGG